ensembl:lncRNA
GAGCACUAAGGAGAAAUGCUGGCACACUGUGAUCUCAUGGCCGUGGAAGCUGUGAAGGGGCUAUGGAAAAAAGAAAAUAAAACAUAUGGGAAAAGGAUUAUGUCUGUCACACGCUGCCAAGCUGAUUUUAUACAGCAACAGCUCUACAGGGAAAGUUUCACUUCCAGUUCUCCCGGGAAGCCAAUCUGAGACUGAGAGCCAGAAAGCCUGGGUUGCACUCCCCACAUCUGCAAGGCAUUUAACCUCCGGUUCCUCUUCUUCAUCUUCCAUGUAAUUGGUUUAACCACACUUCCCUGCCUCGCUUUGGGUGACGCAGGGUUAAUUAAUGUGCAGAAAGUCCUUAAGAUUCUUGAAUGCAGCCACCUUCCAGGGCAAGAGGUAUGGAGAGGAGUGCUUUCUUUCAUGGAGCCCUGUACUGGGGUUGUUCCAACUGGGAGAGCUUGGCUUCAAGAAAAUGAUGUCAGAUCUUGUCCACUUAAUUUGCACCUUGGUUUGCAUAGGUUGUAUUAAUUUCCCCAGCUCUCCACUGGCUAAUUUCUUUUUUUCCAUGGCGGCAUAGUACACUGGCAACAUAAUUUCUCAAAUCCACUAUUGCCUUGAAAACCUGGAUGUUUCCAUUCAGUUCAAGGGGAUCCUCACAGAAGACCUACUGGGACUGCUUAAAGUGACAUUACUUCCUAGUUAAUUCAAUUAUUUAAACUUCAAAAGUAAAUGGAAGAUUAGUAUUGCAUGUUGUCCUUUCACUUGAAAUUGUUACUGUCGUAUGUUUUAUGAACUGAGAGUGUUACAAAAGCAGCUGAUUUCUGCCUCCAUGGGGAAGAGCCACACGUAUAAUUGACAGUGUUAUACAUGGGAUCAGGUUGCUGGUACAAUUCUCGUCAUUUUAAUUUGAUCUGCCAUGAUAGGGCUCACAGCCUGAUUGGCAUCUCUGAAUACUUCUGUAAUAUGAAUAAUAAUUAUAAGAACUCAGACAAAGAGUCAUAUUCCAUAUCUUUUCUGAAAGAGUUAUCUCUGGGUCUGUCAAUGCAUUUGGAGGAAUUUCUCAGAAAAGUAAACAGCAAAGAGAUGUGAACAUAGUAAAAUAUAUAUAUAUAAUCAUUUAAGUAUUCAGAUGGAUAUUUGUAGGAAGCACGUUACAAUUUCGUUCAGCUUUACAAACAGGAUUACAAGAGUAAUCUUGAAGUAAUAUAAGGAUAAAUCAUUCUGGAAAAAGGCCCCGAUGUUUUAGGUAUCAACAAGCUUUCACUUGCUAGCAGGCAUGCAUGUGCUUCUGGCCCACCUCUCUUGCAGUAGACAAAAUACAAGGAAAAUCCCAGUCUUUCUUUAGGCCCAAAUUUGCUAUAAUCCCGAUGAAUAUGCAUUUUAUGUGUAAUUCCAGAACGUGCUCAGAUGCAAGUUUAGAUUCCUGCAUCUUUAAGUCAAAACAAUGAAGUUAAAAUGUCGUCCCCUAUCCAUAUGUAUACAUGCUUUUUUUUUUUUUUUCCUUGUAAAAUUUCACCUUUCCAAUGUGCCCACAGUGUCAAGCUGCUCAUUAAACUCCAUUCCUCAGUUUGGGCUGUGCAUCUGUGAACACCCAAAGGAUGGACAUUGCAGCUGGUGAGUCCUUCACGUUCUGUUGUCCUUCUGCGGAGUUUGGGUUUUGGUACUUCUCUCUGACAAAGACCUGCUGCAGUUCCUCCUGUGAUUGGUCCUGUGAUUCCUGUUGAAGGCAGUGGGAAUAAUGCAAUUCCAAAUAAUUUUGUGGAUUUGAAGAUACAUGAAUAGAAAUGGACGCACCAAAAUAUUCCCAAUCUCAUACAUUUACUUAUGAAGAACCAUUUAAACUACUGCUCUAUACAACUGAUACGUUAAAGAACAGCUCAGAUUCAGGUGCGUAAAGUUUCAUAGGACCAUCAUCUUGAAAACAGUAAUGGAAACUUUCUUCUGUCUCAUUAUAACGUGUACAGAUAAUUUAGUGGACAACUGAAAAGAUAUGGGGUCUUGAAACUGCAGGAAUUAAAGCUGUGUAAAGAUGUAACU